GAACUCAUUUGCAAUCAAACUGCUCGCGAAUCUAGGACGAACAUGAAGCUUCUGUUGGUAGCAUUAAUUUCUGUUCUUUCAAUUUCUUCUAGUUAUGGGUAUACAAGGAUACAGUCGAACGCUAUCUCUUCAGAGUAUCCGGGGGAGUGUUAUGAUUCUGAAUCUGGAAUUCAUCUAGCAGUUGGUGCUUUUGGUUAUAACAAAAUAUGUGAAAAACUUAUAUGCCACGAAGGAUUCUCAAUUUCAUACCUUGGAUGUGGAGUAAUCGGACCUCCAGCGGGAUGUCAUGUGACUAAGAUUGAUUUUAACAAGCAGUAUCCAGAAUGUUGUCCACAGCUUGUAUGUGAAGAUCGACCCUGAGGAGCUGUGUGAUCGAACUUCUCAAUAUGUAGCCAUUUGAAUCAGGACUAGAAGAUACGAAUGUAUGCAAACCUUCUCAGAAAUGAAAUUAUGAUCGCAACAACAACAAAAUGGUCUGGAUCAUUCGACACAUACCUGCUCUGCAUGAAUUAGCACAGAUAAAAAGAACCAGCUUCCUUUUCCUCCGUUAUCAGGCAAUUCAAAAGAAUCCUUGCAUUGAAACAAACAAACCAACAAGAGUCAAAUAAAUUACUCCCGGAACAAUGAAUAAAUUA